UCGAGGGGNAACAUAGGAAAGCUUGCUUUUCUGAUGACGACCGGCGCACGGGUGCGUAACGCGUAUACAACCUACCUUUUAGCGGGGAAUAGCCCAGGGAAACUUGGAUUAAUGCCCCAUAGUAUGGAGAUCUCUCCUGAGAUUUUCAUUAAACAUUUAUGGCUAUUAGAUGGGUAUGCGUCCNAUUAGUUAGUUGGUAAGGUAACGGCUUACCAAGGCAGCGAUAGGUAGGGGUCCUGAGAGGGAGAUCCCCCACACUGGUACUGAGACACGGACCAGACUCCUACGGGAGGCAGCAGUGAGGAAUAUUGGACAAUGGGCGAGAGCCUGAUCCAGCCAUGCCGCGUGCAGGAAGACUGCCCUAUGGGUUGUAAACUGCUUUUACAGAGGAAGAACCACCCCCACGUGUGGGGGUUUGACGGUACUCUGCGAAUAAGGAUCGGCUAACUCCGUGCCAGCAGCCGCGGUAAUACGGAGGAUCCAAGCGUUAUCCGGAAUCAUUGGGUUUAAAGGGUCCGUAGGCGGGCAGUUAAGUCAGUGGUGAAAGUCUUCCGCUCAACGGGAGAACUGCCAUUGAUACUGAUUGUCUUGAGUUAUUAUGAAGUGGUUAGAAUGAGUAGUGUAGCGGUGAAAUGCAUAGAUAUUACUCAGAAUACCGAUUGCGAAGGCAGAUCACUAAUAAUAUACUGACGCUGAUGGACGAAAGCGUAGGUAGCGAACAGGAUUAGAUACCCUGGUAGUCUACGCCGUAAACGAUGGUUACUAGCUGUUCGGCCCAAUUGAGGGCUGAGUGGUUAAGCGAAAGUGAUAAGUAACCCACCUGGGGAGUACGUUCGCAAGAAUGAAACUCAAAGGAAUUGACGGGGGCCCGCACAAGCGGUGGAGCAUGUGGUUUAAUUCGAUGAUACGCGAGGAACCUUACCAGGGCUUAAAUGUAGUCUGACAGGGGUGGAAACACCCUUUUCUUCGGACAGAUUACAAGGUGCUGCAUGGUUGUCGUCAGCUCGUGCCGUGAGGUGUCAGGUUAAGUCCUAUAACGAGCGCAACCCCUGUGGUUAGUUGCCAGCGAGUAAUGUCGGGAACUCUAGCCAGACUGCCGGUGCAAACCGCGAGGAAGGUGGGGAUGACGUCAAAUCAUCACGGCCCUUACGUCCUGGGCCACACACGUGCUACAAUGGUAGGGACAGAGAGCAGCCACUUCGCGAGAAGGAGCGAAUCUACAAACCCUAUCACAGUUCGGAUCGCAGUCUGCAACUCGACUGCGUGAAGCUGGAAUCGCUAGUAAUCGCAUAUCAGCCAUGAUGCGGUGAAUACGUUCCCGGGCCUUGUACACACCGCCCGUCAAGCCANGGAAGCCGGGGGU
rnacentral:rRNA from 1 species